rnacentral:lncRNA from 1 species
CGAUAAAAUAUUUUAGUUUCCUCUCAGUUCCCAAAAGCGGCGUGUUUGAAUCUCGUCAUCUUCCUCUUCUUCGUCUCCAAAUCUCCAAAGUUUACGUCGGAAGCACACUUUCUUUGCACGCCAAAGGUUUUCUCUUGCUCUUUUUUUUUUUUUUGGUCAAGGUUUUUCUAAAUUUGAUACCAUGAAAGAAAGAGUCUUGAACCAAGACUCCGUUUUUAAAAUGACGAAAUCUUUCAUUGGUUUGAAUAAUUUCACUAGUCUCUCAUUCUCACGUCGUGUUAAGACGACGGUUUUGUCUUGUUUACGUCGUUUUAAUUGACUCACCGACAGUAAUUAACACUGUGCUAUUGCAAAUAGCAUGACAGUAGUUAAUCACCAUCAUGGUGUGAUAAUUAAUACGACGUAACCAAGAUAAAAAUGUCAUCUUAUUAUGAGUAAAUACAUAAACGAUAGUGGGAGAGAGACAUAUCUAAGUGGUUUUUUUCCAUCUAUAUUCACUCUUAGUAAGGCGAAUGUUUUUUUCUUGUUUACGUAGUUUUAUUAAGAAUACCACGAAGGUGGUUUACAACGGUCUUGCUAAAAGAAAUACCACAACUUCUUCAAUCUAAUAUUAAGUCAUUCUUUUUAUUUAACCAUCGUUUUUUUUUUUCACUUGCAGGUUUUAUUCCUCUCUAAAAAUGGUUUCUAAAUCUCAAAGUAAGGAGGCUCAGUUAUCAAAAGGUUAAAGCAAGGACCUUGCAGUUUCAAAGGCUCAAAUGAAUGAAGAUAAAGCAGUUCAAAGCAAACCUUUGAAGAAGAUGAGAUUUACUUCAACUUUCGAGAAAGACCCUAGCUCAACGACAUUUGAUGAGGAGCCAAAAUCGACUCACGGUAUCAACACAAUGAGCCGUGUUAUGAAGAGAAAAAUCUAGAAUAUUAAACCCAUAGUUGAGUACAAUAAAAGGGGCAGACCACAUGCCAAGGCAGCUGUUGAGAUGCAAUCUUUCAUUGGUGUUUUGGCACGCACCAAAGUCCCUUUUGUGGACAAGAAAUGAACUCAAUUGCCCAAGGAUUUAAAGUAGUAGAUUUGGGAAGCUAUUGAAAUGACUUAUUUUGUUUGGUGAGGCAAGAAGAUGAUGCUAUCUUCUGCCGCCAAAAAUGGAAGGAUUUCAAGUCUACUUUAACGAGGUAGUUUAUCCUUCCAUUCAUCAAUGACAAGGACUAGUUAAAACAACCCCCUCAGCUAUAUAACUUCAUAUAAAUUGCAAUGGAAUGCCUUUGUAGCUUCAAGGUUAUCCCCAUAAUUUGAGGCUGUGCAUUUUGAGCAGUCAUAGAGAAGGAAAAAAUGCAAGUGCAACCAUAGGUUAUCUCGAAAAGGAUAUGUUGAUUUGGAGGACCAAUUAGAAGAAACCAUGCCGCGUGAAGAAAUUGAUCGUUCUCUAUUAUAGAGGAAGGCCAAAGAAGAUAAACAGGGAAACAUCCCCGAUCCAAAUGUUGCAGAGAAAGCAAAAUUAAUCAUAAGUCUCACAAUCUGUUAUAAAUUUGAAAAAUAGGGAAUUUUAAUUUCAUUCAUACGUCGUUUGUUUUUCUAAAUGUCGUUAGAAACGACACACAACGACCUUUUGUAUUUACUGUCGUUUCAAAUAAUAUAGG